rnacentral:snoRNA from 1 species
AUGAUGACCCUCUCUUCGUUGAUGACCCUGAUGCCAGAUUACAACCAAGACCUGAGU